rnacentral:rRNA from 1 species
GACGGAGGGUGCAAGCGUUGCUCGGAAUCAUUGGGCGUAAAGGGCGCGUAGGCGGCCAUGCGUGUCUUCCGUGAAAUCCCUCGGCUUAACUGAGGACGUGCGGAAGAAACUGCAAGGCUCGAGUCCGGGAGAGGAGGGUGGAAUUCCCAGUGUAGCGGUGAAAUGCGUAGAUAUCUGGAGGAACACCGGUGGCGAAGGCGGCAUCCUGGACCAACACUGACACUGAGGAGCGAAAGCCAGGGGAGCAAACGGG